GGCACUAUAGCUUAAUGGUUAGAGCAUCUACCGGCCUUUGGUAAAGGGAAGCCUUCGGGUGACCUAGAGGUUGCAGGUUCAAGUCCUGCUAGAGCUA